CAGGGAUCAAACUCAUGUCUCUUACAUCUCCUACAUCAGCAGUGUCAUUAAGCUGCAAGCCGUGCAGCAGACGUGGAUGACGUCAGAAUUCUCAGAGCUGGGGGAACUUUCAGAGAUCUGCAGGUUCCAUCAACAGCCUAAACCAAGGCUGCACCUCUUUCUCAAGCCCAUAAGAAGUCGUGUCCUUCAAAUGAGAACCUUCACGGUAUUUCAGAGGUAAAUGGGCAUCAUUUCAGGACGACGAGGGAAGAUUACUAAAGGCAAGAAGUCACCAUCCGAAAGAGUCACUAUUAACAAAAUAUAGGCCUGGGGUAGCACAAAGGGGAUGUGAUUCUGGGGGUAGAAGGCUCACACUUAAAACUGUCAGAAUCCUGGAACUGAGAGAAAGCCAAGAGGUAAGGCUGUGCUUUCCACAGAAGAUAGAACCUGGAAAAAACCUAUUCUAAAUAAUCCAGACCAAUUGCCUUGUGCCAUAUAUAAUUCUACUCAUCUCAGCCUAAUAAGCUAUAAAUGACACUUUUUAAACAUCUUCAGACUCAAUAAAACUAAUGUUUACCCUU